UGGAACGAUCGCUGGCUGCUGCCAACCUGAAAUUUGCUGUUCGUUCAUCACGCAGAAAGGCGGGUAAAGUUGUGUUCAGCACAGUAAACGGCGGUGUUCCAAUUCAUUUGGACCUUGUGCCCUUCCGAGUGCUUGGGGAUGCAACAAAACAGUGCAUCUUCGGAGAAGAGUACUACAAAAAGUCUGAUGCACAGCACAAAAAAGACACAACUGCAGACUGGCAAGCCAUCAAAAAGAAAAGGCUGCAGCUGCAGGGAACUAAAAAGAAAGGAUGUCGAGCCGUAAUGAACUUCAAGUACAUUGAACUGUAUCCCAAAAGCAAGUUUCUUCAUGCAUCCAUUAUCAAAUGUGGCUAUACUUUCAUCAAACUUUGACAACUUCAUGCAGGAUACUGAGGAUAAUAACAGACUUCAUGACAAAUACAGUGUUGUUAUAUGCAUAUCAUGUAAAUAAAGGUGUU
rnacentral:lncRNA from 1 species